UUUUGAUCAAAAUCAAAAGUGCAAAACAAAACUACCGCCAGAAGCUGUUCAUCCAAUGAAAUUAAGUACCAUCUAUCAAAGAAUUGAAUCCAAGGAGAUAACUCUGUGUAAAAAUAGACUUUACCAUUCUGGUAAUCAAUCCAAUCUAGUGAAUCGUCAUUGAUUCUUUUACCGUUUUACAAUCACUAGACUCAAGAAAAACUGUAGUUUUAAGCAUUUUAUGAUAAAAUGUUGAUCAAUGAAAUUCCCAAUGAUUGUUUGCUAGCCAUUUUUGAUUAUAUGGUUGACCUGGCUGAUUUAAUAAGCUGCUAUAAAGUAAAAUUUUAUUACAGUGUGCGUUAAAUGGAGCCAUUUAAUUGCUAAGCGGACUAAAAAAGUUAAAUAUUUGCUCGAUCAGCGUGGUUAUUCAUCUGAUGCUGUUUAUUAUCCAAGACCAUGUUUGUUCGAUGCAACCUACCUGAGUAAAUUAUUUACAAAUUUAACAAUCGCUGAUUUGUCUAUCAAGUUGAAUUUUGAAGUAGAAAAUGUUAUUCAAUUUGUCACCAAACAAAAAUGUUUGAAAGGAUUAAUCAAUCCACUCGACGAACCAAUAGAAAAAUAUUGUGAUAAUCUCGAAUGCUAUCUGUCGAUGAUU